CAGCCGCCGCGGGAAUACGUAGGGUGCAAGCGUUAAUCGGAAUUACUGGGCGUAAAGCGUGCGCAGGCGGUUAUAUAAGACAGAUGUGAAAUCCCCGGGCUCAACCUGGGAACUGCAUUUGUGACUGUAUAGCUGGAGUACGGCAGAGGGGGAUGGAAUUCCGCGUGUAGCAGUGAAAUGCGUAGAUAUGCGGAGGAACACCGAUGGCGAAGGCAAUCCCCUGGGCCUGUACUGACGCUCAUGCACGAAAGCGUGGGGAGCAAACAGGAUUAGAUACCCCCGUAGUCCCUGUCUCUUAUAC
rnacentral:rRNA from 1 species